rnacentral:rRNA from 1 species
UACGAAGGGGGCUAGCGUUGUUCGGAUUUACUGGGCGUAAAGGGCGCGUAGGCGGGCUCAUAAGUCAGGGGUGAAAUCCCAAGGCUCAACCUUGGAACUGCCUUUGAUACUGUGGGUCUUGAGUUCGAGAGAGGUAAGUGGAACUGCGAGUGUAGAGGUGAAAUUCGUAGAUAUUCGCAAGAACACCAGUGGCGAAGGCGGCUCACUGGCCCGAUACUGACGCUGAGGCACGAAAGCGUGGGGAGCAAACAGG